GGUGGCUUCCUUCUGGAUGGUUUUCAAGGAAAUCCAACAACCCUGGAGGCUAGACUACGCUUGCUGUCAUCAGUCACUGCAGAGCUGCCGGAGGACAAGCCAAGGCUCAUAUCUGGUGUUAGUCGGCCAGAUGAGGUGCUCGAGUGUAUUGAAAGAGGAGUGGACUUAUUUGAGAGUUUUUUCCCUUAUCAAGUAACAGAGCGGGGAUGUGCCCUGACUUUCAGUUUUGAUUACCAGCCGAAUCCUGAAGAGACACGAUAAAUUCUCAGGAGUGAAAUUACAGAGUCAAAGAUCAUGAAAUAAUAACUAAAAUAAAAUGUUUCCAAUGGCCACUUCUUAUCUGAUCAUCAUUCAAGCCUUUUUAUUGGUUUGUCCUUCAGUACUACAACAAAAUGGAAC
rnacentral:lncRNA from 10 species